UUCCAUGGCGCCUGUUUAUCAAAAACAUGGUUUUUUGUUAUGGAUAAAAAAUCUAACCUGCUCACUGCUUAGGUAAAGAGCCGCAGUAUUUUGACUGUGCUAAGGUAGCAUAAUCACUUGUCUUUUAAAUAAGGUCUAGUAUGAAAGGUUGGUCGAGGGGAUGCUGUCUCUUUAUAAUAAGUUGAAUUUAAUUAUUUAGUAAAAAGGCUUAUAUUAAUCUGAAAGACAAUAAGACCCUAUUGAAUUUAAUUUGUAAAUUUUGUUGGGGUGGCAGGGUAAGAUUAAAAUCUUACCUUUAAGGAUUUGAAUUUUGUUGACCCAGUAUUAUUGAGGAAAAGAUAAAAUUACCAUAGGGAUAACAGCUUAAUUUUUUCUUGAAGUACAUAUUUGAGGAGGAGUUUGAGACCUCGAUGUUGAAUUAAAGGUUCUUGUGAAUGAAGAAGUUCAUGGAGAAAGUCUGUUCGACUUUUAAAUCUUUACGUGAUCUGAGUUCAGACCGGCCAUGGA
rnacentral:rRNA from 1 species